AACGAACGCUGGCGGCAUGCCUAACACAUGCAAGUCGAACGAGACCUUCGGGUCUAGUGGCGCACGGGUGCGUAACGCGUGGGAACCUGCCCUUAGGUUCGGAAUAACUCCCCGAAAGGGGUGCUAAUACCGGAUAAUGUCUUCGGACCAAAGAUUUAUCGCCUUUGGAUGGGCCCGCGUUGGAUUUGCUAGUUGGUAGGGUAAAAGCCUACCAAGGCGACGAUCCAUAGCUGGUCUGAGAGGAUGAUCAGCCACACUGGGACUGAGACACGGCCCAGACUCCUACGGGAGGCAGCAGUGGGGAAUAUUGGACAAUGGGCGAAAGCCUGAUCCAGCAAUGCCGCGUGAGUGAUGAAGGCCUUAGGGUUGUAAAGCUCUUUUAACCGGGAUGAUAAUGACAGUACCGGGAGAAUAAGCGCCGGCUAACUCCGUG
rnacentral:rRNA from 1 species